GGGGAUGCCCCGGUUUCGACUGGUACGGUUCGGGGUACAUGUUGCAGGUGGAGCGCCCAUCUCCUGAUUGGGCAAAAAUUUAACUGCCAAUAACGUCAGUUACGAUUACGCCUUAGCUGCGUAACCGCGUGGAACCGUUCCGCCGCCUUGAGGGACGGCUUCCGCGUCGCAAUCAGGGCUGGCCUCGCCGCCGCUUUCGGAGACGGCAUGGCAAGAUUACCCGGAAUACGGACCAGCCGCGCGCCGUUUAGCCAAGCCGGUCCCGACAAUUUAAUAAACGGCUAAACCUGUAGAAGUGUGUAUGCUGCGUAUUAGGACGCGGGUUCGACUCCCGCCAUCUCCA
rnacentral:tmRNA from 1 species